UCGAGCGAUGAUUCGCCUCUUCGGAGGUGAUGAUUAGCGGCGGACGGGUGAGUAACACGUGGGUAACCUACCUCAAAGAGGGGAAUAGCCUCCCGAAAGGGAGAUUAAUACCGCAUAAUAUGUUUUGGUCGCAUGACUGAGACAUCAAAGGAAUUUUCUUCGGAUUAUUCCACUUUGAGAUGGACCCGCGGCGCAUUAGCUAGUUGGUGAGGUAACGGCCCACCAAGGCGACGAUGCGUAGCCGACCUGAGAGGGUGAUCGGCCACAUUGGAACUGAGACACGGUCCAGACUCCUACGGGAGGCAGCAGUGGGGAAUAUUGCGCAAUGGGGGAAACCCUGACGCAGCAACGCCGCGUGAAUGAUGAAGGCCUUCGGGUUGUAAAGUUCUGUCUUCUGGGACGAUAAUGACGGUACCAGAGGAGGAAGCCACGGCUAACUACGUGCCAGCAGCCGCGGUAAUACGUAGGUGGCAAGCGUUGUCCGGAUUUACUGGGCGUAAAGGAUGCGUAGGCGGACAUUUAAGUCAGAUGUGAAAUACCCGAGCUUAACUUGGGUGCUGCAUUUGAAACUGGGUGUCUAGAGUGCAGGAGAGGUAAGUGGAAUUCCUAGUGUAGCGGUGAAAUGCGUAGAGAUUAGGAAGAACACCAGUGGCGAAGGCGACUUACUGGACUG
rnacentral:rRNA from 1 species